AAAAGUUUUAUUUGAUCUUAACGGAAGCUUCUGUAAGUGGAAAAACAAAUUGGUAACGGAACACAGAAUUGGCUACACAUGUAGGUUAGAACUUUUGCACAAAAUUCGCCGUGAGUCAUGGCAGUGAUCUGAAAAGGCAAUCAAAAAAG